AGCAGCCGCGGUAAUUCCAGCUCCAAUAGCGUAUAUUAAAGUUGUUGCAGUUAAAAAGCUCGUAGUUGAAUUUCGGGGUCAAUAAGUUGGUCAUGCCAAUGGUAUGCACUGGCUUUAUUGAUUCCUACCUCUUGACGAACUGUGAUGCCAUUAAUUUGGUGUUGCAAGGAAUCAGGACUGUUACCUUGAAAAAUUAGAGUGUUUAAAGCAAGCUUACGCUUGAAUACAUUAGCAUGGAAUAAUGAAAUAGGACGUUUGAUCCUAUUUUGUUGGUUUCUAGGAUCGACGUAAUGAUUAAUAGGGGUAGUUGGGGGCAUUAGUAUUCAAUUGUCAGAGGUGAAAUUCUUGGAUUUAUUGAAGACUAACUACUGCGAAAGCAUUUGCCAAGGAUGUUUUCAUUAAUCAAGAACGAAAGUUAGGGGAUCGAAGACGAUCAGAUACCGUCGUAGU
rnacentral:rRNA from 1 species